rnacentral:tRNA from 1 species
GCCUGGGUAGCUCAAUCGGUUAAGCAUCUGACUUUGGCUCAGGUCGUGAGCUCACUUUCAUGGGUUCGAGCCCCGCGUCGGGCU